rnacentral:rRNA from 1 species
UGGCGGCACUAGCGCGGUGGUCCCACCUGACCCCAUGCCGAACUCAGAAGUGAAACGCCGUAGCGCCGAUGGUAGUGUGGGGUCUCCCC